rnacentral:lncRNA from 1 species
UCCAAGCGACUCCACUUUUGGCAGCGUAGAAUUAUCAUUAUCAUUAUUAUUAUAAAGGGGCUUCGAAGACAAAGACCUGGUUGGGGAAGAUUUUCUUUGAACGACUGAAUUUGUUAGUUGGAUUUGAGGAGGCUUAGUGGAAAAUGGCUCUGUGGCUUUAUCAGGCUCAGUAGGUUGAGGAAUUGGAGAUCGCAUUUGGGACUUCA